GCCUUCGUAGUGUAGUGGUCAGCCCGCUCGACGCGUAACCGAGAGGUCUGAGGUUCGAUUCCCGGCGAAGGCG
rnacentral:tRNA from 1 species